rnacentral:piRNA from 1 species
UGUCAGGGACUGGUAUUGAGUGGUAAC